rnacentral:rRNA from 1 species
UACGGAGGGGGCUAGCGUUGUUCGGAAUUACUGGGCGUAAAGCGCACGUAGGCGGCUUUGUAAGUUAGAGGUGAAAGCCCCGAGCUCAACUUGGGAAUUGCAGUGGAUACUGGCAGGCUGGAGUACGGUAGAGGAAGGUGGAAUUCCCGGUGCAGCAGUGAAAUGCGUAGAUAUCGGGAGGAACACCAGUGGCGAAGGCGGCCUUCUGGACCAGUACUGACGCUCAUGCACGAAAGCGUGGGGAGCAAACAGG